GCUAAAGGCAAAAUACGAAAAGUUUAGAAUUAUGAACAUAGUGUACAGUUAAAAUUUUCUGCAGCAGUAAUCGAUAAUUAUGUGGAAGUAAUAAUUAAGAAAUUUAUUUCAUUCGAUAUCUAAGACCAAAUAACAAUACUUCUUAAAUUAUAGCAGCGAUAUCGAAUAUGAAAUUGUUUUCAAUUCAAUUAUCAACUAAAAUUAUAGUAAAAUAAAUAUAGAUAAUAAUAAUAAAGAAAUAUAGAGAGACAAAAUAUAUGUAAUAAAAAAGUUAGUAGCAUCUCCUAAAUAUUUAUUGUGAAAAACCUAUUGACUAAGUACAACUAUGAUACAGAGAAGUCUUGGCUGAUUUUGUGUGCUAUCCGAUGAUAUUGUUCUGUUGAAUGUCGCUUCCGAAAACCGAAUUGAUAAUCUGACGUUAUAUUCGAAUCCUCGAAAAAGGAAUGAAGUCGUCCGAUUAGCAUAUUCUGAAAGAGUUUGGAUAAAUUUGACGGAAGAGCGACUGAUCAAUUUGAAUUUGCUCGAUGGAUUGGCUUCCUUGAUUUAAGAAUAAGAGUAAUGAGUGACAAUUUCUAAAGCUUUGAAUAAUAUUUAAGGGGAAGGACUGCGUUAAAUAUGAUAAAUAUGACAAGUCCUUAAGGGGAUGUCCUGAAUUAGAAUGUUCUAAAAUAGCGUCUUUUUGUGAUAUUUGUUAGAAGGGAAAGAAAGAAACAAAGUUAUUGAAUUUCGAGUUCUGCAGUCUGCUACAAGUAGUAUACCAAUAACUAAUUUUUUCUGCGUUAGUUUUACUCAUAUUGUUAAGAACGAUGGAAAUAAAAUAAUAAGAAGAGCCUAUCACAAGGGACGUUGGAACGUGUACGCAAAUGAAUAGUUAAUUGCAUGAAAAUUCUUAAUUAAACUCUUUGCAUUAAAUACUUUCACGUGACAUUCCUUUUCUAUGAGAAAAAUUUGAAUUGAUACUAAAUAAAUAAGGUUUUAGCGUGGAUAAUGAUUCUGAUGUAACUAUUUUCAUUCGUACAACUCAUAUGUUAUUUGUAAUUGUUUUUAAAAUGAUUUCGAAAGUUAAUAGAAAGUUGUAUACGUUUUUAUUUUAUUUUCUGAUUUGAAUUUGUACAAAAUUUGUCAAAGGAAUUAUCUUCUUUGUCGAAACUGAAAGAUUAAAAUAUAGCACCUGUCCAUUCCUUAAAAAUUAAUUUACAUACAAAAUGAUACUCAUACAUACAUAUCUGUAUUUAUCAUAUUUCUUAAUUAUUUUACUGUUUCGUUAUGGUACAUUUCAGUUUUUGUAUUAGACAUCUUUAAAUUAAUUGCAAAAUGCUAUUACUAAAAUAUUCAUUACUGUUCUGCAGACAUAUUCAAUUGUAAAACGAAUAAAGCACGACUUGAUCUUGUCUAAUCUCUUUUUCACUCUUUCUUUCUACAAAUUUAAUUUUUUUUCCAUUCAACUUGCGUCUA